rnacentral:rRNA from 1 species
CACGUAGGCACCAAGCGUUGUCCGGAUUUAUUGGGCGUAAAGAGCGUGUAGGCGGCUUGGUAGGUCCGCUGUGAAAACUCGAGGCUCAACCUCGAGAUGUCGGCGGAAACCACUUGGCUAGAGUCCGGAAGAGGAGAGUGGAAUUCCCGGUGUAGCGGUGAAAUGCGCAGAUAUCGGGAAGAACACCUAUGGCGAAGGCAGCUCUCUGGGACGGUACUGACGCUGAGACGCGAAAGCGUGGGGAGCAAACAGG